GGGAGAAGAGAGAAUGAACUGCACAUGGUACAUACCGAGGCUGACAAAGAGAAAGGAAAACCAGAGGAUAGGACUAUUCAGAACCGCAGCCCCACGGAACACCUGUCGCUUUGAUAGCACCGCCAGCAGGACGGCGUGACGAGCCAGCCAGCUGUACACAUGAAACAGAGGUUCACUGCAUCACAGAUCCGAUACGGAGCUCAAGAACCGCUGCACCUGACCAGCGACGCGCAGCCCUGCCUCGGCGCCCGGACGGCCCCGCACCACCGCCUCUCCGCACGGCUACAAAAC
rnacentral:lncRNA from 1 species